UACGUAGGGUGCGAGCGUUGUCCGGAAUUAUUGGGCGUAAAGAGCUUGUAGGCGGUUUGUCGCGUCUGCUGUGAAAAUCCGGGGCUCAACCCCGGACUUGCAGUGGGUACGGGCAGACUAGAGUGUGGUAGGGGAGACUGGAAUUCCUGGUGUAGCGGUGGAAUGCGCAGAUAUCAGGAGGAACACCGAUGGCGAAGGCAGGUCUCUGGGCCACUACUGACGCUGGAGAAG
rnacentral:rRNA from 1 species